GCGGACGGCGACUCUGGGCGGGAAACAGGAGCUGCUGCGCCGAGGCGAAGAAAAUUAUGUAAGAGUUCACCACGACGAUCAAAGGUGAGGAAGAGGGCCCCCCCUGAGCCCCCAAAUGUGCGCGUGUCUGCGCGCCCGUGUGGACGCGUUUCCCCCUCGAAGCUCGGAGAGCCGAAAGCGCGCGCGCGGGAAUCUCCUCAGGCAGCCAAACUUUCUCCCUCGGUGGAAAAACCGCUCGGGCGGGCGACCAGCUGGAUUCAGAAGCGACUCAAACAGGUGCAAGGCGGAAAGGGCUGGAGAAGGAGCGACGGGGGGGAGGAGAGAGAGAGAGAGGGAGAGAGAGAGAGAGAGAGUCACGGCUGCUCCACUUUGGCCAGAAGGUGGGAGGCAACGGGGUGUGUGCCCGGCUCUCGGCGCCUUUCCACGGUCCUCCGCGUUACCCCGCGCGCGUUCCGCAGAAAUGCAAGGCUGACUCCCCUCGUUUAAGCUGCUGCUGAAGUGAUCUAAUGUGCCCCCCCUUCACUAACUUCCACAGGGAGAGGGGGGGGGAGAGAGAGAGAGAGAGAGAGAGAGGAGGGAGCAAGCGAGCGAGCGUGUGUGACUCGCAUCCGCUGGUCCCAAGUGAACAGAGGAAAAGAGACAGGAAAUGCCCCCUCCCCCUCUCCCACCUCCGCCCCACGUAGAAACGAGAGAGAGAGAGAGGGAGGGAGAGAGGGAGAGAGAGAGAGAAAGAGAAGUAAUUAAAUGACAAAGCGCGCGGGGGGGGGAGCCAGAGAGAGGGAGGGGGUGAAUGAGAAGGAAAGAAGGAAGGAAGGAAGGAAAGAAAGAAAACCGUAAAGACGAGGGAGGGGAGGGCGAGGGGAGGGUGGGAAGCAAAGCGCCUCCAGCCAGGCAGCAGCAGAACUUGCGCCGUAAUUUGUUCUCCGCGGUUUUCCCUCCUCUCGCUCGGGAGGAAUCAGGAAAGGAGGAGCAGCAGCCGGGAGAGGCAUCCAGCAAAGAGCCCCGCAGCCAUACACGGCGCACCGAAGCGGGAUUAAAUGACUUUGCCUUGGCCAAUCGGAGCGCGUCGGCGGGGGAUUAUUUGCAUGGCGCACUCGGGAGUGACGUCCGGAGUACAUUUCUAUACACCAGUCGAUGGGGUAAUUGCUUCAAACUUCUUGGCUCAUUCAUUCUUACAAGAGGCCUGUGAGACUGCCUGAAUUUCAUCCCAUUUUACAGGCUGGGAAGCUGAGAGACAACCUGUUCUUGAGUGAAGGAUUAUCACAUGGUCCGACCAAAGCCCAAUAGGAGAUUGAAAUGAAGGCUUAUGCCAAAUCCAUCUAAAAGUGAUAAUCCUAUGAAGACUUAUUUGGAAAAUCUAUUAAACUGAAAGCAUGCAUGUAGUCAUAUUGCAGGUGUUUAGUAAGGAAAGUAACAUUCUCUGGGUCCAUUAUUUGCCCAGCUGAAUGUGGUGAUUAGUUUACAGUAAUUGUCUUUGGCAUACCCUGCUAAAUGUAAGUGAGGAAAACUACAUUAUGCCUGUGUGAUUAUUAGAAGCGGGCAGUUUGGAAAUGUGCCCACAACAAGGAAACUUCUGAACUGCUGUUGGUGGAAAUCCCUUCCUAUGGUUUCUUACUUCUUUGGGCCAAGCAGCAAAGUUGCCUGCCUUCAUUGUGGAUAGACAGCUGUCUGCAAUAGCACCAUACUCUGCAAGGCGUGUCUUGUUGCUAAGUGAGAGAUGACUGACAGUUAUUGCCAGUGCCAACAAGGCAGCAAGUGUGGUGGCACUUGGUGCCAAGAUUCCUACGCUGGUAAAACAUGGGGAAAGGGCCUUAAUUCUUAUACAUAUGCAGUCUUGAUCCCUUCAUAUAACUUGCUCACAAAGAAAAAAUUGCAAAUACCACCUGCUUGCUCUGGAGAGUACAUGUUGAAUUGAUCAUGUUCCUACUUAUGUCAGAGUGAGAUACCCACUGAAUACAGUGCGGCCUGCUUCCUAGUGAGGAGAUUUGGACUCUUUUGGUUGCAUCCAAAAUAAAUUUGCAAGUGCCUUUGAUAUUUACCA
ensembl:lncRNA